ensembl:ncRNA R186.13 ncRNA
GGCACGGUUUUUUUCUCGGUGGGUCUCGCCACGAUCUCAUUCGAUUACUUUUUACUCCACAAUGUGCAGACAUAGCAACCAAAUUCACGUUGUACUUAGUAUGCCGGUUUUUUUUUGAUUAGGAGUCGCAAAAACUUUUAUAUUGCUUUG